CAGUAGCCCGGUCCUGAGAGGAUGAACGGCCACAUUGGGACUGAGACACGGCCCAGACUCCUACGGGAGGCAGCAGUGGGGAAUCUUCCGCAAUGGACGAAAGUCUGACGGAGCAACGCCGCGUGAGUGAAGACGGUCUUCGGAUUUGUAAAGCUCUGUUAUACGGGACGAACGGCAAGGUGGUAAAUAGCCAUCAUGAGUGACGGUACCGUAAGAGAAAGCCCACGGCUAACUACGUGCCAGCAGCCGCGGUAAU
rnacentral:rRNA from 1 species